GAUGAACGCUGGCGGCGUGCCUAACACAUGCAAGUCGAACGGAGAUUAGACGCUGAUGAGGCUUCGGCGGAAUCUUGUUUAAUCUUAGUGGCGGACGGGUGAGUAACGCGUGGGCAACCUGCCUCAUACUGGGGGAUAACAGUUGGAAACGACUGUUAAUACCGCAUAAGCGCACAGUGUCGCAUGACACAGUGUGAAAAACUCCGGUGGUAUGAGAUGGGCCCGCGUCAGAUUAGCCAGUUGGCGGGGUAACGGCCCACCAAAGCGACGAUCUGUAGCCGGCCUGAGAGGGCGGACGGCCACAUUGGGACUGAGACACGGCCCAAACUCCUACGGGAGGCAGCAGUGGGGGAUAUUGCACAAUGGAGGAAACUCUGAUGCAGCGACGCCGCGUGAGUGAAGAAGUAUCUCGGUAUGUAAAGCUCUAUCAGCAGGGAAGAAAGGCUCGAAAGAGAGAUGAC
rnacentral:rRNA from 1 species